rnacentral:sRNA from 1 species
ACACGGGAAAGGAGGUGGUCCGAAGAAUGAGUUCUUUCAGGACGCGUGAGGUGGCUGCGCGCUAGCAGCCCGACGCUGGAUGGGGCGAGCUCGCCUCUGACGAGCUGCCGCCCGAAUGUCGGCUGCGCGCGAAUCUCAACGCAGCCACCCGACCCGCAGGUGCAACCGGGAUCGUCCCCCGGCCUGGUCUCCCGACCACACCUGCGGGUCGCUGCAU